GGACACUUGAACCGGAAGAAGUAUUCUCACUUGAAGGAGGAGGAGAAUUUGAUAAGUUGGCUCCUUACAGAGAAAAGCUUAGUAACAAAAUGCUUCUGUGGCAUGGUUCUCGGCUGACAAAUUUUGUAGAGAUACUUAGCCAGGGACUAAGAAUAGCUCCUCCAGAAGCUCCAGCGACUGGCUAUAUGGGGGUUUACUUUGCUGAUUUUGU